AAACUAGGAUUAGAUACCCUAUUAUUUUUAUUAAAUUAAAUUUAAUUUAAAUAUUAAAUGUUUAAAGCAUUAAAAAUAAAAAAUUUGGCGGUAUUUAAUAUUUAGAGGAACUUGUUUAUUAAAUUGAUAAUCCACGAAUGGAGGAACUUAAUUUAAAAUAAAAAUUUUAUGUAUUGUUGUUGAAAAAUUAGAUUAAUAGGUAUUAGUUAAAAAAUUUAAUAGUAGAUAAUUAUAAUUCAAAUCAAAAUGUAGAAUAAUUAAGAUUUUAAUGAGUUACAGUUAAUUGAAUAAUAAUGGAUUUUAAUUAAAUUAAUUUAUAAAUGAAAAUGGAUUUAAAAGUAAAUUUAUAAAAAUUUAUAAAUGAAUUAAAAAUUAAA
rnacentral:rRNA from 1 species